rnacentral:lncRNA from 10 species
AUUGUAAUCCCUAAAAGAAAGGAAACAAAAAGGUAAACCCUAAAACCACACCGGAAUUUUGUCUGAAGGCAAUUUCCAGGUUGUGGAUGCGGGGAGGGGAAUGCAAGUGAAGCUGAGCAAUCUCUCCGAGAUUUGGGGAGCAGAAGGUAACUGAAAGUUGCCAGGCAAAAUUCUAGAGAAUUGGAAGCUUUGUAGAAAAAGAGUUUCAGAAGACCGCAUAGGAAGUCCCCUUGACUAUGCAUGUGUGGAGUAAAACCUUCAUGAGGCUGAGAAAAUAAAGACUUGGAAUUGUAAACUGAAUUACACUCAGUGUUCAAACUGAGUGGGGAGAAGUGAGAACUUCAAUUAGCCAAGGUCCUGAAUAACCAAUGGAAAGUCUUCAAUAAUUAACUGAGCCAUGUGACAAAUAUUCAGGGGGAUCAUGCUUAGACGGAAUAAUCCUGGAGUAAAGGCUAAUCUAUAUCUGCCAUAGCAAAAAUUAAAAUAGGCAUAAACCACCACGGCUGGACUAAUAUUCUUCUUCUUUUUUAUCAAGGUGCUCAACAAAAGUAAACUGGCCUAAUAUCCUUAAAAUAACAACAACAGCAACAAAAUUCAGAUGCUUACAAUGUCCAGCAUCCAAUAAAAUAUUACUAAACAUGCCAAGAAGCCAGAAAGUGCUAGCUUAUAACCAAGAGAAAAUCAAUCAAUGAAAACAGACAAAAAUGAUACGGAUGCUGGAACUAGCAGAUAGAAAUAUUAAAAUAACUAUUAUUACAGUGUAAACACAGUUAAGUGAAAAUAUGAACAUCAUAAGCAAAGAAAUGAAACUACAAAAGAGUAACACAUGGAAUAUCCAAAGAUUAAAAUAUAGUAUCAGAAUGAAAAUGGAAGUUUCUCUGGAGGUAUUAAGAUUAGAAACUGCUAAAACAUAAAUAGUAAACUUGAGAACCUGGCAAUAGAAUCUGUUUUUAAAAAUGAAGCACAAAUGUUAAAAAUAUUUUUUAACCAAAUGAACAGAGCCUCACUGACUUCUGGAAAAAUAUGGAGUGGUCUAACAUAUUCAUAAUUGGAGUCUCAUAAGGAAGGAUACUACAAAAAAACUAUUUUAAUAAAUAUUGGCUUAUAGUUUUCAAAUUUUAUGGAAAUCACAGACACAGAAACCCAAGACAUUCAUUGAAUGCCAAGUAGGAUAAACAUUCUCACACAUACAAACCUCACCAAGGCAUGUCAUAAUUAAAAUCACUAAAAAACCAAUGAUUAAGAUACAAUCUUAAAUGCAGGCUCCUCUCAACCCCAAAUACACAUUACAUACAGAAGAACAAAGAUAAGAAUUAUUCACAGGCUUCUGGUAGAAACUGCAAACCAGAAGACAAUGAAGUAAUAUCUUUAAAGUGCUCAGAGAAAAAAAUAUUGUAGAUUAAAAUUCUAUUUUCAGUGAAAAUACUGUUUAAAAAUUAAAACAAGAUUAAAGAUUUUUCAAACAAAAGCCGAGAAGUUUAUUGUUAGUAUAUAUCUCCAAUAUAAAAAAUGUUCAAAGAAAGUUCUUCAGGCUGAAAUAAAAUAAUACCAAAUGGAAACUUUUUUCUAUACAAAUGAAAUAAGAGUACUAGAAAGGUAAAUAUAGCCGGGGGCGGUGGCUCAUACCUGUAAUCCCAGCACUUUGGGAGGCCAAGGUGGGUGGAUCACCUGAGGUCAGGAGUUUGAGACCAGCCUGACCAACAUGGAGAAACCCUGUCUCUACUAAAAAUACAAAAUUAGCCGGGCGUGGUGGCACAUGCCAGUAAUCCCAGCUACUCGGGAAGCUGAGGCAGGAGAAUCACUUGAACCUGUGAGGUGGAGGUUGCAGUGAGCCGAGAUGGCGCCAUUGCACUUCGGCUUGGGCAACAAGAGUGAAACUCCAUCUCAAAAAAAAAAAAAAAAAAGAAAAGGUAAAUAUUGGCACAGAUAUAACAAUUUUUUCUAAUUGUUUUAUUUCUUUAAAAGAUAAAUAUGUCUAUCUAUCUCUAUUAUGUUAAAAUAAUAAUAAAAUUUGGAGCUUAAAACAUGAGAAGACACAUGUGUAACAACACUACCACAGAGAAGGGGGUGAAGGAAAUGGAAGUAUAUUGGUGUAAGAUUCUACGUUAUACAUGAAAGGUAUGAUACUAUUAUUAUUAUUAUUAUUAUUUUUGAGACGGAGUCUCACUCGGUUGCCCAGGCUGGAGUGCAGUGGCGCGAUCUCAGCUCACUGCAACCUCUGCCUCCUGGGUUCAAGCAGUUCCCUGCCUCCUGGGUUCAAGCAGUUCCCUGCCUCAGCCUCCGGAGUAGCUGGGAUUACAGGUGCCUGCCACCACUUCCGGCUAAUGUUUGUAUUUUUAGAAGAGACGGGGUUUCACCAUAUUGUCCAGGUUGCUCUUAAACUCUGGACCUCAUGAUCCACCCGCCUUGGCCUCCCAAAGUGCUGGCAUCACAGGCAUAAACUACCGCGCGUGGCCGGUAUGAUAUUAUUUGAAGGUAGAUGGUGAUAAUUUAAAGAACAAACACUAAACAAACAAACAAAAAACCAAAAAAGACCAAAGAGAAUAACUACUAAAGGGGAGACAAAUACAGUAUUAGAAAAUAUUUAAUCUGGUCAGGUGCUGUGGCUCACGCCUGUAAUCCCAGCACUUUGGGAGGCCGAGGCGGGCAGAUCACUUGAGGUCAGGAGUUCGAGACCAGCUGGGCAACAUGGCGAAACCCUGUCUCUACUAAAAAUAUAAAAAAUAGCCGGGCGUGGUGGCACGUGCCUGUAAUCCCAGCUACUUGGGAGGCAGAGGCAUGAGAAUUGCUUGAACCCGGGAGGCAGAGGUUCCCUUGCCACUGCACUCCAGCCUGGGUGACAGAACGAGACUUUGUCUCAAAAAAAAAAAAAAAAAAGUAAUUAAUCCAAAAAAAGUUGGUAAAGAGAGAAAGUGGAAUCUAAAACAAAUGGAACAUACAGAAAACAACUAACAAGAUGGCAGACUUAAAAUGAAUUAUAUUAUUAAUUACAUUAAACAUAAAGGGUAUAAAGCUUCCAAUUGAAAGAGACUGUCAGGCUAGAUUAGAAAAAAAAAAAGCAAGAGGCUGGGCGUGGUGGCUCAUGCCUGUAAUCCCAGCACUUUGGGAGGCUAAGGUGGGUGGAUCACAAGGUCAGGAGACUGAGACCAUCCUGGCCAACACGGUGAAACCCUGUCUCUACUAAAAAUACAAAAAUUAGCUGGGCCUGGUGGCAUGUGCCUGUAAUCCCAGCAACUCGGAGGCUGAGGCAGGAGAAUCUCUUGAGCCAGGGAGUCAGAGGUUGCAGUGAACCAAGAUCAUGCCACUACACUCCAGCCUGGCGACAGAGCAAGACUCUGUCGCAAAAAAAAAAAAAAAAAAAAAAAAAAAGCAAGACUCAUAUAUAUGCUGUCCACAAUAAAUCUAUUUAAAUAUAUAUUAGUCCGGGCGUGGUGGCUCAAGCCUGUAAUCCCAGCACUUUGGGAGGCCAAGGCAGGCAGAUCACUUGAGGUCGGGAGUUCGAGACCAGCCUGGCCAACAUGGUAAAACCCCAUCUCUACUAAAAAUACAAAAAAUUAGCUGAGCAUGGUGGCAGGUGCCUGUAAUCCCAGUUAUUUGGGAGGCUGAGGCAGGAGAAUCGCUUGAACCCAGGAGGUGGAAGUUGCAGUGAGCUGAGAUUGGGCCAUUGCACUCCAGCUGGGGUGAUAGAGUGAGACUCUGUCUCAAAAAAAAAAGUAUACACACACACACACACACACACACACACAGAUUAAAAUAUAUAAGAUGACAAAAUAUAUACCAUAUAUGCUACAAGUCAAAAGAAAGCUAGAGUGGUUAUGCCAAUAUAAAGAGACUUUAUAAUGAGGAGUAUUACUAGAGCUAAGGGAGAAACAUUUCAUAACCAUGAAGGGGUAAUUUCAUCAAGAAGAUAAAACAGUCCUGAAUGUGUUGGUAUCCAAUAACAAAUCUUCAAAAUACAUAUCCCAAAACUGAUAGAAUUUAAAGGAGAAAUAGACAAAUCCAAACUUACAGUUGGAAAUUUUAGUACUUCUCUAAUUAAUAUAAAAGGUAGACAGAAAAUCAAGGCCAGGUGUGGUGGCUCACACCUGUAAUCCUAGCUUUUUGGGAGGCUGAGAAAGGAGUUGGAGACCAGCCUGGACAAUAUAGUGAGACCCUGUCUGAAAAAGCAAACAAAUGGCUGGGCUCGGUGGCUCACACCUGUAAUCUCAGCACUUUAGGAGGCCGAGGUGGGGGGAUCACCUGAGGUCAGGAGUUCAAGACCAGCCUGGCCAACAUGGUGAAACCCUGUCUCUAUAAAAAUACAAAAAUUAGCUGGGCGUGAUGGUGGGUGCCUGUAAUCCCAGCUGCUUGGGAGGCUGAGGCAGGAGAAUCACUUGAACCUGGGAGGCAGAGGUUGCAGUGAGCCGAGAUCACACCAUUGCACUCCAGCCUAGGCGACAGAGUGAGACUCUGUCUCAAAAAAAACAAAAACAAAAACAAACAAACAAAAAAACACCAAGAAAUUAGCCAGGCAUGGUUCCAGUAUUUGCCAUUCCUUUUCCACAUUGUACCUGGGUCAUCUUUUCACUGACAUUUUAAUUGAGAUAACUGCAAAGUUGUAAUAAAUAAUACAAAGAGAUCCUGUGAACCCUUUACCUUCUUCCCCCCAGUGGUAACCAUUUUUCAGAACUACAGUAGAGCAUCACAAGCAGAAUACUGACAUUGAUAAAAUCUGACAAUCUUAUUUAGAUGUCCACAUUUGAACUUGCACACAUUUGUCUGUGUAUAACAAUGCUGGAUUUAAAAAAAAAAAAAUCUUACAGGUCCCUGGGGACUCUGCUCAUAUAUAUAUAUAUAUAUAUAUAUAUAUAUAUUUAACUGUAUUUUAUCUUUUUUUUUUUUUUGAGACAGGGUCUCACUCUGUCACCAGGACUGAAGU